rfam:Beggiatoa sp. SS Contig281_0257, whole genome shotgun sequence.
CCUGGGGGCGAUAGUGCGGUGGACGCCCUUGGGAUCUUACCGAACUCAGAAGUGAAGCGUUGUAAGACCGCUGGUAGUGUGGGGUUUCCCCAUGUGAGAGUAGGGCACCGCCAGGU